GGAGAGAUGGCAGAGUGGCCGAUCGCGCCGGCUUGCUAAGCCGGUGAGUCCGAAAUUCGGGCUCCGAGGGUUCGAAUCCCUCUCUCUCCGCCA
rnacentral:tRNA from 1 species